GACGAACGCUGGCGGCGUGCCUAAUACAUGCAAGUAGAACGCUGAAGGAGGAGCUUGCUUCUCUGGAUGAGUUGCGAACGGGUGAGUAACGCGUAGGUAACCUGCCUGGUAGCGGGGGAUAACUAUUGGAAACGAUAGCUAAUACCGCAUAACAGUAGAUAUCGCAUGAUAUCUACUUGAAAGGUGCAAUUGCAUCACUACCAGAUGGACCUGCGUUGUAUUAGCUAGUUGGUGAGGUAACGGCUCACCAAGGCGACGAUACAUAGCCGACCUGAGAGGGUGAUCGGCCACACUGGGACUGAGACACGGCCCAGACUCCUACGGGAGGCAGCAGUAGGGAAUCUUCGGCAAUGGACGGAAGUCUGAACGAGCAACGCCGCGUGAGUGAAGAAGGUUUUCGGAUCGUAAAGCUCUGUUGUAAGAGAAGAAAGAGUGUGAGAGUGGAAAGUUCACACUGUGACGGUAUCUUAACAGAAAGGGACGGCUAACUACGUG
rnacentral:rRNA from 1 species